AUUCCAUCCGCUCUUCCAUCGAAGACAUCCGAAUGAGUCACGAGGGGUGUUUGGGCUGACUGAGCACAGGAUCCGCUGAAUGUCAGGGGGGUCAAAUGUUGAAGUUCAAGAUCUCACCCUCGGACACGUUGUCCCAGUAAGGAGACAGAAAGUGGACUUCACCCUUCUGGAUGAGACGGAAUAGUUCCUCUUGAUUGCGAUCCGGACUGCGGAAGGGAGGAAAGCCACUGAGCAGCACAAACAGUAUAACACCCAUCGCCCAAACAUCUACUCCAACACCGUAACCUAUUCAAAUAUAGACAUAGACAUGCUUAGCUGAUCACAAAGCUGUACCUCAGGUUUUUUUUGUCCUUUUUUUUGUAGUUCAAACAUUACCUGUCUCAGCAAGUAUCUCUGGAGCAACAUAUGUAGGUGUGCCACAAACUGUGAAGACUGGCUCCGUUACCACCAUGGCUAAGCCAAAAUCUGCCAACUUCAGAUUCAGACUUCCAUUGCCAUGCCGCUGUACCUAUAAUCAGUAAAAAAAAAAACGAGAUGAUAUCAGCUGGAUGUUGUAUUAUUUACUGUUUUUAAAUGCAUGUCCAAUACAAUACUAAGUGAUUGCAAAUAGCCUACUGCUGCUGAAUCUGUUGCAAUGAUUCUGUUCGUCUUCACCAGUCCUCAUUUGUAGUGUUGGAAAUCCGAUUCAUUUAAUUGACUCGGUUCGUUCGGAUGUUUUAUGUAAAUAAACAGAUCAAUAACAAUUCAUCC